rnacentral:misc_RNA from 1 species
AAGUCGUAACAAGGUUUCCGUAGGUGAACCUGCGGAAGGAUCAUUACAGAGCGUGAUGCUAUGCAGAACUUGUUCUGUGUAGCUGACCCUCCACCCGUGUCGAUUAUCUCAUGUUGCUUUGGCGGAUCGGGCUUGCCCGCGCCCACUUUGGUGGGAGUUAUCCGCCAGGGAAGACCAAAACUCUCGUUAUCAGUGAUGUCUGAGGAUGAUAUAAAAUCAUGAAAACUUUCAACAACGGAUCUCUUGGCUCUG